ensembl:misc_RNA Metazoa_SRP Metazoan signal recognition particle RNA
UGGUCAUUUUGCCAACCGGGUGUCUGCACUAAGUUCGGCAUCAAUCUGGUGACCUACUGGGAGCAGGGGGCCACCGGGUUGCCUAAGGAUGAGUGAACUGGCCCAGAUCAGAAAGGGAGCAGUUCAGAACUCCCACACCGACCGGUAGUGGGACUGUGCCUGGGCAAUAUAGCA